GCCUCUGCCGAACAAGCCAAAUAAAUCUCCUGUGCACCUGUUGAAUAAAGAAAUCGGUGCAAAUGGGAUAGAAAAAAUCCGGUGGAAUUGCGGGUGCACCUUUUCACAUGGUUGAGAGAUUAUUCAACAAUCUCCCCCUUUCUCACCCAUGUUAAUAUGACUCCAUUACUUGGAGCGUAUACCUGCAACGUUUCUACAGAACU
rnacentral:lncRNA from 1 species